UACGUAGGGGGCUAGCGUUGUCCGGAAUCAUUGGGCGUAAAGCGCGUGUAGGCGGUCCGGUAAGUCCGCUGUGAAAGUCGGGGGCUCAACCCUCGGAUGCCGGUGGAGUACUGUCGGGCUUGAGGUACGGAAGAGGCGAGUGGAAUUCCUGGUGUAGCGGUGAAAUGCGCAGAGUAUCAGGAGGAACACCAAUUGCGAAGGCAGCUCGCUGGGACGUUACUGACGCUGAGACGCGAAAGCGUGGGGAGCAA
rnacentral:rRNA from 1 species